UGGGGAAUAUUGGACAAUGGGCGCAAGCCUGAUCCAGCCAUACCGCGUGGGUGAAGAAGGCCUUCGGGUUGUAAAGCCCUUUUGUUGGGAAAGAAAUCUUGCCGGUUAAUACCUGGCGAGGAUGACGGUACCCAAAGAAUAAGCACCGGCUAACUUCGUGCCAGCAGCCGCGGUAAUACGAAGGGUGCAAGCGUUACUCGGAAUUACUGGGCGUAAAGCGUGCGUAGGUGGUGGUUUAAGUCUGCUGUGAAAGCCCUGGGCUCAACCUGGGAAUUGCAGUGGAUACUGGGUCACUAGAGUGUGGUAGAGGGAUGCGGAAUUUCCGGUGUAGCAGUGAAAUGCGUAGAGAUCGGAAGGAACAUCCGUGGCGAAGGCGGCAUCCUGGGCCAACACUGACACUGAGGCACGAAAGCGUGGGGAGCAAACA
rnacentral:rRNA from 1 species